UACAGAGGUCCCGAGCGUUGUUCGGAAUCAUUGGGCGUAAAGGGCGUGUAGGCGGUCUGUUAAGUCAUGUGUGAAAUCCCUCGGCUCAACCGGGGAACGACGCAUGAAACUGACAAGCUAGAGUACCAAAGAGGGGGGUGGAAUUCCCGGUGUAGCGGUGAAAUGCGUAGAGAUCGGGAGGAAUACCGGUGGCGAAGGCGACUACCUGGCCUGUUCUUGACGCUGAGGCGCGAAAGCUAGGGGAGCAAACGGG
rnacentral:rRNA from 1 species